rnacentral:rRNA from 1 species
AUUGAACGCUGGCGGCAGGCCUAACACAUGCAAGUCGAACGAGUGGCGGACGGGUGAGUAAUGUCUGGGAAACUGCCCGAUGGAGGGGGAUAACUACUGGAAACGGUAGCUAAUACAGCAUACCAUCGGAUGUGCCUCGCUGUGCUUAGCUAGUAGGUGGGGGAAUGGCUCACCUAGGCGACGAUCCCUAGCUGGUCUGAGAGGAUGACCAGUCAGCCUGGAACUGGGGCAACGUCCAGAUUCCGACGGUAGGCGUCAGGGGGGAAUAUUGCACAAUGGGCGCAAGGCUGAUGCAUCUAUGCCGGGUGUCUGAAGAAGGCCUUCGGGUUGUAAAGUGCAUUCAGCGAGGAGGCGUUACUCGCAGAAGAAGCACCGGCUAACUCCGUGCCAGCAGCCGCGGUAAUUC